UACAGAGGUCCCAAGCGUUGUUCGGAUUCACUGGGCGUAAAGGGUGCGUAGGUGGUCGGGUAAGUCUGAUGUGAAAUCUCCGAGCUUAACUCGGACAUGGCAUUGGAUACUAUUCGGCUAGAGGGUUUGAGGGGGGACUGGAAUACUUGGUGUAGCAGUGAAAUGCGUAGAUAUCAAGUGGAACACCAGUGGCGAAGGCGAGUCCCUGGAAAACUCCUGACACUGAGGCACGAAAGCUAGGGGAGCAAACAGG
rnacentral:rRNA from 1 species